UAUGGUUAACUUUAUUUGAAGCUUAGGUGGUAGAGCUCUUCUGUUUCCUGUUGCAACGAGCACUCGUUGACUUAUGUCCUUAUGGAUUCAUCCAAUAACUAAAUAGCAGCCCAGACAGUGAGGGAUACAAACUCGAAAGUCGUCCCUUUCCUGACUGCAAGGUGUUCCCAGUCCAGCAGGAGAGACCAGACAGGCACAGACAUCAUGGCAACACCAGGUAGAUGGCAACAAAAGCUCUAAGAGAGGAGACCGAACCAUCAGGGAGAGUUGAGCAGCCGGAAAAAAACACCAACAGUGACAUCCGGAGAUGGAAAAGUACAGGACCAGGAAGAGUGAGUUGCUCAGCCGGGGUUCAUGCUCAGACAGAGCUCCGAGGACUAUGGCUCAACAGGUAGGCUGGGAUCCAUGUGGGGGUGGAAUGAAGCAGGAGGAGGCUGGACCCGGGAGAGCAGCUAGGAGGCACCUGCGACCUCCUGGGUGAGAAGUGAGAGGGUGGUGGCAGUGAAAACGGAGGGAGGGGAUGGGUGUGAGAGAUGAUUCCAUGGAGCUGCCUCCAUGCCUCCAAAUCUCCUUGACUAAUUCUCCGCAGUAACUCAUACACCCAUGUUCAUUGCUACCUUCCCCACCCCCUCAUUGGAAGCUUAUCUUUUGAUCUUACAGGUGCAUGACUUUCUGCCCAAUUACUUGUCUUCAACCCAUCAGAGCAGAUCAACUGUGCAGCUCAGAAGUCUCACUGUCACACUCGGCCUGGGUUGCUCCCGUGCCCUGCCUCUGUCCUCAGCACUCUUUGUCUGCGGACGUGGAGGACAACAGCCACCAUCUCCUGUGUCCUCACAGGGAGGUUUGGUCAGAAGAUGGAACCUAGACUAGGACAUCAGUGCAGGACAGGGGAGGAAGUGUCAGAGAGGGAGAAACGAAGUCCUCCUGGGGCUUCAGCUCGUGUCCUCACCCCAGACUCAGCUUCCCCACAUCCCUCGCUGACUGGGAAGCCAAGCAAGGACUGAGAUGGCAGAGCCUGGGCAGGGCAGGGAGACGGGGAAGAGGCACUCAUUUUGGCCCAAGAAACCAACCCAGCUGUAUAACCAUCACAGUCCUGAGAGCCCUGGCAGAGAAAAUCAGAGCUGGGAUUGCAAGGGUACUGCCCUGCCUCUACUGAGCAACGCGCCCUGAGCCUCUUGCUCUCUCUGAGCCUCAGAUGCGUUGUCUGUGUAACGGGGGAUUAUGGCAUCCACCUCUCUGCCCCCCGUUGAGCUGUUUGUAAAGCUGGAGUAAGGUAAGUGAGUAUGGAAGCGCUUUGAAUAUGUAAAACACUAUUUCACAGGUUGAUUAUCAUUCAACUCAGACCUCACUCUUCAGCACAGGUAGUCUGUGAGAAGAAACAGAGAUGCCUUGAGGGGUUAUGGAUAUUCUUUUUUUCCAUGGAGCUCUGAGGUGAUUAGCCCUGUGAAGCUUCUAAUCCAGUUUCUUCAUUUGACAGAUGAGAAACUGAGGCCCAAAGAGAGGGAAUGAAUGGGCAAUGGUCACAAAGUGAGUGAGAGGACGAACUCAGGUCCCGAGAAUCCCAGGGAACAAUACUGGCAGAUCUUCAUGUGGAAAUCCUGGGCUCACCCAUGCUUUUAACAAAUGGAAGAUGAGAGACGAAGAGGAAAGAGGCAGUGUAUCAGUCAUGGUCCAAGGAGGAAGAAGAGGACCCACUCAAAAGAGGGUGACCAAAGAGAUUCAUUAAAGGAUAAUUUAUAAAGGUGUGGGCAGGGUUAAGAAAAACCAAGAGAUAGUGAUGCAUCCUAAGGCUAACAGUAACUGAGAGCUCUAACCAGUCCUCAGGCUGAAAGGGCAAAGGAAGAGGCAGUUACCAGAGCCUGGCAGUGAGCUGGGCAGGGCUGGGGAGCUAGGAGAGGGCAGCCCAGCUGGAGACACGACCUUUGGCAGACACACGUGGCCACUGUCAACCAACAGCCCACAGAGAUGGGGUUGGGGGAGAUCUGUCCUCACACCUCCCUUCUUCCACCUUCCCAUCAUCUAAUCAGUGCCGGGCUGAAUCCAACCAGAAGCCAGAGGGCAGAGAGGAGCCUACUGACCUCCACAGAGGUCUACCUCCUGGAGAGGCGGGAAGAGGAGGCAGGAGAAUGGAUGUGGAGGGUCAUACAGAGAACACCCAGCACACAGCUGCUGGCACCUGCCACAGGCAGGAAGUUGGUUGCACGGGGCACGGCACAAUCUGAGGGGCUGGGAUUUGAGGGGAAGCCGUAGCCUGGUUGUCUCAAAGUGGAGUCACCCCAGAGCCCAGCUGCAGCUCUCUGGGAGCCAAUCUGGCCCUGGGUCUCAGGGGAGCACAAGAAGAACCAGACCAAGAGCUCCCAAGAGACGCUACUAACCCCACAGGCAGGGCUGGCCAUCCUGGGGGUGGGGUUUAAAUCCUGGUUCCUUCAUCUUGCUGUGUGUCUCGAGACCCUUCAUUUAAUCUCUCUGAGUCCUUGUCUGUGAAGUGAGUGUAAUAACAGCAACCCCCAUACUUCCCGUCUCGGGACCGGCUGGCACUUUGCUCACCGGGAAGCCAUAUAGAAAUGCUGUGGGUUCCAAAUGCCCUAAGCCACCUAAACCUCAUUUGCUCUCUGUGAAACAUGCUCCUAAGACCUAGAUUUGUGGAAGGUUAAAGCCAAAGGAGCCCUAGGACCAUCUCAUCAGCCUUCUCUCCUAGGAAGGGAAGACACUGAGAAAGAGGUCCCACAGUUAGUGGCAAAGCUGGGGCCACACAGGUGCCCUCCACAGGCCCCCGGUGCCCCUCCUAGCUGCCCUUGCACAUGCCGUCAGAUGAAUAAAGGACAAGGAAGUGUUUGUCAAUUGCAUUAGUGGUUAUAACUGUAAUUAAUUACAAUCUUGCCCUCAUAAACCUCUCCAGGGCUGAAAAGCCCCACCAUUAACUGUCUUGAAGGGCCUGGCGAAAUGUGAAUAUUUUACCAGCACAAAGCACAUAAAUACCCACAUGCACAUCAGGAGGUGUGGUCAUCAGAGUAGCUAAGGACAGGGUCCUGAAGGCACAGAACCCAGGACAGGCGAGCUGUGAUGGGCAGCGUGUGGCUGGGACAAGCAGGGCUCCCUAGGAAGGAAGGAAAGCUCAGGUGGGGUCAUGAGCGGCUGAGAGCUUAGUCCCAACCCCAACUGGCUAGAGGAGGAGUUGGCCAGAAGAGGCAAGCCCAGCCCCAGGAGGCUGAAGGACUUGCCAGGGCCUCCCUGAGAGCUGGCGGAAAUGGGCUUCACUCGCAAGGCCCUUCUUAGCAGCCAGACCCUAUGGGGCAGACAUCAGCAGACAUUUCCAUGUGUUGACUCCUCAAUGGAGAGUCUGUCUGUUGCAAGGGGAUCACAUGCUACACUGCCACUUUUCACCUGAAAGCCGAAAUCUUAGCUCUUGGCCAAACUCUUCAGCUCCCAGACUGUCUGGACCAACUCAUACUUGACUGAGCUGGCUCUGUUCUGCUUCUCUCAUACUUCCCAUCACUUCCACCGCUCCUCUGCUCCACCAGGGCCAGUGACUCUUCCUUACGUUCAUUCAACAGAUGUUCGCUGAGCACCUACUACUCACUGGGCACAGCGCGUAUCACUAGGAAGGCAGUGAUGGAGCCCGGCCCUCACAGAGCUGACCGCCAGAGGAGGUGAUGGAAACUGUCAGAUUCUGCAGGAACAAAUGCAUGAGCAAAGACAGGCUCAAGUCCAGAGCCCAGAGCUGAGCAGAGCCAUCUACAGCUCCCAGAAGGGCCAUCUUCAUCCCAACUAUCCUAAAUAGCACUGCACACAGUGCACUCAGAGAGCCCGACCCUCUCUAUAAAGACAAGGGCCUGCAGUGUUGUGCCUCAGAACACGAGUAGGAGCCAGACUCCCUAGGAACAAUUCCAGCCCCACUGCUUAGUGUAUGACCUUGGGUAAGUGCCUUCACCUCUCUGAGGCUCCUUUUCCUCCUCUGAGUUACGGCACUAAUUACAGUCCCUCCCUCAUGGCACCGUUGUAAGAAUUAGGUGGGGUGAUCCGUGGCAGGUUCUGAGAACAGGUCCCAGCAUGCCAAGUCCUCAAUAAAUAGCCACUGUUCUUAUAGGUAAACUGAGGCCAUGGUGGGCUGUGACUCAUCUAAUGCCUCUCACCUAGUUAGGAGCAGAUCCAGGGUUGGAACUUAAAUGUGCCAACUCCAGGCCAGCAUUCUUUCCACUCCACUUACCACCUUCCCACCCAGGAAUCCACAAUGUGAAUUUAGCCAUAUCCCAUUUGAAUGUUUAAACAAACAAGGAAAUGGGAGAUUGUAUUACCAUACAGGGCCUUUCUUAUUUGGGCCACCAGAAAGGUCCUAUUUCUUCCACUCAAGUAACCUCGUUGCCAACAGCCAAUCACCUGCCUCACUUUCCUUGCUAAGAAAACUGAAGCCUCUGGCCUAGCUCCCUGGGCAGCGCUCGGGCCGAGUAUUUCCUCACGGCCUUAUCUCACUGAAUCACUGUACCCCGGCAGCCCACAUCUUUACAGAUACUUCCUCAACUCACUUCUCUGCUUAGAUUGAGUGCUGUUUUCACAAUCCCCUUGGCUGGAGAUUUGCAAAGAGGUGCAGAAUCUGUUAGGCUCCAAUGUGAAGAUCUGGGCCCUGCAGUGGGCCCGCGGAUCCACGCAGUCACAGCUGGCGUGGUGGCCAGCCAACGCCAGAAUGCAGGGAAAUGCAUACACACGGCGUAGCUGUGUCACACCAAAGCACAUUUAACAGCCCACUGAAAACUCACAGCCUGAGCCCUACCUGCUUACUGAUUCCACUGAAUCACAAAGUGUUAGAGCUCGGUGCAACUUUAGAAAUGAUUUGCUCUGAUCUCCCUUUUUGUAAGAGUGCUAGAGGCCUAGAGUGGAAAUUAGAAUAAAGGGUAACAGAGCUCUGGGGUUCAGAGUUCAACCCUGUAGCCAAAUGGUCCAGGUUCACUCCUGACACACCAAUGACUGUGAGGCUUUGGCCAAGUUACUUCAGGUCUCUGUGCCUCCAUUUGCUUAUCAGUAAAAAGAGGGUAAAAGCUCAUACCUUAUAGGAUGCCCUGAGAAUCAAAUAAGUUAAUAACUUAAUGGAGUGCUUAGAACAGUACCUGGCCCAUAAGCACCAUGUGUUUGUAAAAUAAAUCAAGAAGAGAGGUGAUCGUGUGAGUCCCUGUCGUUCACAUGCCCUCUCCGGGCACUCAGAUUGGAUUAACUUGUCCCUAGGGGCCCCUUCCUUUUGUUGUCAUGCUGACUGUGUUUCUUUGCUGGGAUGUUGAGGCCUAGAAGUCCCACGCUGGGCUGCUCUCUGAGAUGCCAAAGCAGCUCUUUGGAAGGCAGAGCAUGACCACCAGGGGCUACACUCACCUGGCUGAGGCAAAAACCUUUGCAGCUUUCAUGCUCGCCUUGGCCUCAGCCACAGCCAUUGCAGGAGGCUCCUCCGGAGUGUGGGAUGGAGUCGGCACACCAGCCGGAGGUCCCUGUGGGAUGUCCCUGUGCACAGUUCCUCCUCCCUCCCUCCCUCUCUGCCUCUCUCUGAGCCAUCUCCUGUUUGAGCUCUUGAAAGUAGCUGGGGACUCACAGAAUCUUCUCUCUGGUUCCAGCCAGGUAUUCUCCUUUGGGCCCUGAUUUCAUUAAAAUAGCUCUAUGAUUUAUUUGGGUCCGCUGCUCUGGGGUUUUGAGAGUGGGGAGAAGAGACAAGGUGUACAUCAGACGUGUGCAAAGGGUUCUAAUUCAGAGGACGCACUACUCUCUGGAGAAGAGUAAAGAGUGCCAGCCACCUUAUAUGGUGCCUGAUACAAGACUCGAGAGACAGAAAAGCUCCCCAGACACCUGGAGAUCCUCACUGGAGUGAAGUUGUCCUUAUACCCUUCUUCUCUGUGAGCUACGCUGUAGCUCAAGCCCUCAUCACUCUCUCCUUACACCCAGGCCUUUCAGCUGAGCCCCGUCAUCUUCAGUCCUCCUGCAGUCCACCCGCUCUCCCUGCUAAAUUUCCACUCCAAGAGCCAACUUCUCAUUAUCCCAUUGUCCUGCUCAGACACUCCCAGUCUCCCUGCAGCUUCCAGGACAAAGUCAAACUCCUCACUGGCCCUCAAGUCCCACUGGUCUUAACCCCUUACCGUUCCCCAUCAAAUUCUGCUGUGCUUUUCCAUUCUGAGCUGCCAUUCUUUAUCCUCCUCCAGGAAUACCUCACCAC